UUUGAGGAAAGUCUGAAAUGAGCCUGGUUUUCAUUCAUGUAGGGUUUGAACACAGGGACUUGCACUUGCUAGACAAGCACUCUACCACUUUAGCCACACCCUUAGCUUUUUGAUUUACUUGUAUUUUAGGUAAGGUCUUAUUAACUUUGCCUGGGCUGGCCAGGAACAAUGAUUCUCUACAUCUCCACCUCUUAAACAACUGGGAUUGAAGAUGUCUAUCUCUUUAGGCAGAAGGAAGGAAAAGCUCCAAUAAUAUUGGAGACGUGUCAAAAGGACAAGAAAGCCUGCUGGAAGAGUCUCUCCCUAGCUAAGCUGAGUACUUUGAGUAUCAAAACAGAGAAAAUAAUGGAUCAUAACUGCUGGAAUAUAUUAAAAGCCUUGAGUCCAUAAUGACAUAAGUUAAGUUCACAGUUUAAUGGGAAACAGCACGUGCAAAUACACAAAACCAAAUACAGAUUCAUAAUAGUAACUUUUCAAGAAGCCUGA